AACGAGAUAGUUUAAUUAGGUAGAACAUUAGAAUCAUAAUCUAAGAGUUGUAGGUUCGAGUCCUAUUCUCGUUA
rnacentral:tRNA from 1 species